GUUGCAUUGUACUGCAAAUUUUAUUAAUAUACUUGGGAUAUAAGCACAUAUCUUACGAUAAUGUGAUUCAUUCUGACUGUUUAGUUAGACGACGGUAGAAUAAAUUCAAAUUCAAGUUCAAAAGAUAACUGUGGAGUUGAAAAUCAGCACUUUUUACGAUUUACCGGAAAGCAACAGCUGAUUGUAAUGGGGAAAUUUGAUGUGAAAAUGUGGAUCACGAAAUUCCUUUUCGAAGUACUAGUGAUGCUGGCUUUCCUCGUGUUUCUUACGGCCGCUGAAGAGAGUACAACGAAGGUCAGCCGUAGAUUUAUGGACGAUAAAUUUUUUUAUGGUUUAAUGGGAUAAGUUUAAUUAGUUUAUAUUGUAUAACAUGUUGUCGUAGAAUUGUGGCAAUUUCAAAGAUUUGCGGUCGUCACUCCAAAUUAUUUGUUAACAAUAUCUGAUAUCUUAUAGAAAAGUUCGAUUUUAAUUAGGAAUUUUAAAAGUUCACGCGGGAUUAAGUUGCUUUUGUGCUGAAAAAAAACUGAGCUGGUUUACGUAAUUCUAGGGGGGAAAGUGUUACAUAUUUUUGAAAAAACAGCAUAUCCUUCCGUUCUGUUGAAUCCACGUUGUUAAAUUUCUUCAUAUGGGAAGAGAUUCAAACAACAACAAUUACAAUAAUGAUCAGAACCGUUAGUUCUACGUGGCUUAAAAAGAUACAUGAUGAUGUCAACAUUCUUACGCCACGGCAACACGAAAUCGGUUGCUCCUUUAACAUUCCAAAUUCAAGCCGGUGAACACAUUUUUUUACAAAAUUUACAGUUGACCGUCACCGUCUUUAGGAAAACGCUUCGUAGAAAUUUUCAUGACUAAUUUUAACAAAUAGGCAUAUCUUAUUGGGUGACUAUAAUUACUACAAAUUUAAUGUCCGGCUUCUACUAUGUAAUUAGAAUAAGGGAUAAAAAGUAUUUAAAAAGAUACUACUCUUAAUAAAAACUCAAAAGGUAUGUUUCAAUUGUUUGAAUGAAAAAAUCAAACAGUUUAGAAAGAACUACACAAAGGUUUUUGACGCGGUAUGAAAUCCGCCGAUCAU